CAUGGAUUAGGCAUGCAAGUCGAGCGAGAAGUUUAAGUUUGACGCUUCGGUUGAUUCUUAAACGGAAAGCGGCGCAAGGGAGAGUAACGCGUAGUUAUCUGCCCCAAGGUCCGGAAUAGCCUCGGGAAACUGAGGGUAAUGCCGGAUAAUAUCCCCGGAUCAAAGGUGUGAUUCCGCCUUGGGAGGAGACUGCGUUGUACUAGCUUGUUGGUGGGGUAAUGGCCUACCAAGGCGAUGAUGCAUAGCGGGCGUGAGAGCGUGGCCCGUCUCACUGGGACUGAAACACCUGCCCAGACACCUACGGGUGGCUGCAGUCGAGAAUCUUCGGCAAUGGGCGAAAGCCUGACCGAGCGAUGCCGCGUGCGGGAUGAAGGCCUUCGGGUUGUAAACCGCUGUCAGUUGGGAGGAAGGCUCCGUGAAGAGCGGAGCUUGACCUAUCUUCAGAGGAAGUCCGGGCUAAGUUCGUGCCAGCAGCCGCGGUAACACGAACCGGACAAACGUUAUUCGGAAUUAUUGGGCUUAAAGGGUGCGUAGGCGGCGCGGUAAGUGAGGUGUGAAAUCCCACGACUCAAUCGUGGAACUGCGCUUCAUACUGCCGUGCUAGAGGGAGACAGAGGUAAGCGGAACUGAUGGUGGAGCGGUGAAAUGCGUUGAUAUUAUCAGGAACACCAGUGGCGAAAGCGGCUUACUGGGUCUCUUCUGACGCUGAGGCACGAAAGCUAGGGUAGCGAACGGGAUUAGAUACCCCGGUAGUCCUAGCUGUAAACGAUGAGCACUUGGUUGGGGAUCCUCCCAUAGGUUCCCGACCGUAGCGAAAGUGUUAAGUGCUCCGCCUGGGGAGUAUGGUCGCAAGGCUGAAACUCAAA
rnacentral:rRNA from 1 species